AGCGAACGCUGGCGGCAGGCCUAACACAUGCCAGUCGAACGAACUCUUCGGAGUUAGUGGCGGACGGGUGAGUAACACGUGGGAACGUUCCUUUAGGCUCGGAAUAACUCAGGGAAACUUGUGCUAAUACCGGAUGUGCCCUUCUGGGAACAGAUUUAUCGCCUUUAGAGCAGCCCGCGUCUGAUUAGCUAGUUGGUGAGGUAAAGGCUCACCAAGGCGACGAUCAGUAGCUGGUCUGAGAGGAUGAUCAGCCACAAUGGGACUGAGACACGGCCCAAGCUCCUACGGGAGGCAGCAGUGGGGAAUCUUGCGCAAUGGGCGAAAGCCUGACGCAGCCAUGCCGCGUGAAUGAUGAAGGUCUUAGGAUUGUAAAAUUCUUUCACCGGGGACGAUAAUGACGGUACCCGGAGAAGAAGCCCCGGCUAACUUCGUG
rnacentral:rRNA from 1 species